CCCAACGAUGUCCCCAAUGAUGUCCCCGCGCUCCGGCUGUGUCAGCGCUAUUUCCGCCGCGGGGACAUCGACCCCGACAACGACACCUUCGACAUCGACCCGCGCGUCGUCACCGAGUGUCUCCUGGUCCAUCCUGGGGAUCCGCGGCCGCCGGCGCUGAACGGCAGCGACGGCAACUUCACCCUACAGUUCCACCGGCUGAUCAACGUCACCAUCGAGUUCCAGCUCAAAGCCAUCAACAUCCAAACGCUGCUCAACAACGAAAUCCCCGACUGCUACCGCUUCGGUGUCACUCGCUGUCCCCGUGUCCCCAGAUCACGUU